rnacentral:rRNA from 1 species
GACGAACGCUGGCGGCGUGCCUAAUACAUGCAAGUCGAAAGCAGUGGGGACGGGUGAGUAACACGUGGGUAACCUCCCAUCAGAGGGGAUAACACUUGGGAACAGGCGCGAAACCGAUACGGAUGGAAGAACCCGCGGUGCAUGAGCUAGUUGGUGAGGUAACGGCUCACCAAGGCCACGAUGCAUAGCCGACCUGAGAGGGUGAUCGGCCACACUGGUACUGAGACACGGCCCAGACUCCUCCGGUAGGCAGCAGUAGGGAAUCUUCGGCAAUGGACGAAAGUCUGACCGAGCAACGCCGCGUGAGUGAAGAAGGUUUUCGGAUCGUAAAACUCUGUUGUUAGAGAAGCGGUAUCUAACCAGAAAGCCACGGCUAACUACGUGCCAGCAGCCGCGGUAAUUC